CUCUCCCCCGGUGGCUGUAUUAGCGCGGCGCACACCGGCUCGGUCUUUCCGUCCCGGACUUGGUGGCCGACCCACCCGAGCCGAUCCCCACUGCCCAGCCGUGCCGCUGCCUCGGACACAGCACAGGUUAAAGACUACAAGGAAGAAACUCAUGAGCCGAAUGGCUUCAAGGUGAAAUAGUCUUAACAUGUAGACCAGGCUUGCCUGUAUCCCACCAGAGGAUUAGUGUCGAAGCUGAAUUAGGUGAAGUCCAUUUCACAGAUAAAGAAUGUGGGCCAUGCGAGAAUAUCCUUGAAUGGCCUGAAGAUACUUUCCUAAAGUGUUUACCAAUGUACAAGGAUCCUGCCCCACCCCUUCUGUAUGCCUGGCUGUCCUAGAAUCAGAUCCACCUAGCUGGGACAUGUUGGGGGUUUUAAAGGUGCAAACGAAAGGAGAUUUUAAGACGUUCGGGGUAGAUAUUUAUUAGGAUGUUUGUAUCUGGUCUGCCUGCUAGGACAAUUAUUUUCCUAGUAGCCAGUCAUGUGCUAGCUAGCAUUCAAGGUGUUUUAACCUGUACAUUGUUGCCUAUGAGUAAUUUUCCAUAAUCCUGAAUAAAGGCGUUUCCUAUGUCAAUUCCA